rnacentral:rRNA from 1 species
AUUGAACGCUGGCGGCAGGCCUAACACAUGCAAGUCGAGCGGAUGAAGGGAGCUUGCUCCUGGAUUCAGCGGCGGACGGGUGAGUAAUGCCUAGGAAUCUGCCUGGGAGUGGGGGAUAACGUCCGGAAACGGGCGCUAAUACCGCAUACGUCCUGAGGGAGAAAGUGGGGGAUCUUCGGACCUCACGCUAUCAGAUGAGCCUAGGUCGGAUUAGCUAGUUGGUGGGGUAAAGGCCUACCAAGGCGACGAUCCGUAACUGGUCUGAGGGGAUGAUCAGUCACACUGGAACUGAGACACGGUCCAGACUCCUACGGGAGGCAGCAGUGGGGAAUAUUGGACAAUGGGCGAAAGCCUGAUCCAGCCAUGCCGCGUGUGUGAAGAAGGUCUUCGGAUUGUAAAGCACUUUAAGUUGGGAGGAAGGGCAGUAAGUUAAUACCUUGCUGUUUUGACGUUACCAACAGAAUAAGCACCGGCUAACUUCGUG